GAUGAAGAACGCAGCGAAAUGCGAUAAGUAAUGUGUAUUGCAGAAUUCAGUGAAUCAUCGAAUCUUUGAACGCACAUUGCGCCCCUUGGUAUUCCGAGGGGCAUGCCUGUUCGAGCGUCAUUAUAACCCUCAAGCUCAGCUUGGUGUUGGGGCCUGCUGCAGUGGCAGCCCUUAAAAUCAGUGGCGGCGCCAUCUGGCUCUAAGCGUAGUAAUUCUUCUCGCUAUGGAGUCCUGGUGGAUGCUUGCCAUCAACCCCCAAUUUUUCUAUGGUUGACCUCGGAUCAGGUAGGGAUACCCGCUGAACUUAAGCAUAUCAAUAAGCGGAGGA
rnacentral:misc_RNA from 1 species